GUGGUGGCAGGUCCCAUGGGUUGCAUUGGUAGGUUCGUCUUUUUCUGUCCAGAUUUACUAACUCGCUAAAUAUUUGAUUUUUUAACUCUCAAAACAGCUGCAAAACAGUGCUAGUUUCACAAUGAGUGGUACUUGUGACAGUGGUCUUGAAGCAAAGCUUGAAAAACUUACAGACCAAGAAAGAACAAAAAAUACACUUCUGGCCUACAAAAGCUUCACUCAGCUUCUCGUGGAUGCAUUCUGAUGUGGAGUACUUCCAUAUGUGAAAACUGGAAACCUAUGAGCUAUAGUCUCAACAUUUGAGGUCAUCUAAAAAUAUGAGGUUCCAUCAUUACAGGAUUUUUUGACGAACCACUUGAUCUUUCCUGUAAAAUACAUGAUACUAAGCAACCGAUCGAAAAGCCGAUUAUUGUUACUCUUUACUUGAGCAAUACUACUGAUACAACUAUAACUAAAUUUGUUUCAUACAAUGGUACCAAAGUUUGCAAUGAAGAUCAUUGGCUGUAUAAUAUAUGCCUGUCACAGGUGACGUCAUAUUUGACCAAAGAUGAUCAAGUCCAUUUCGUUAUCAUGAAUCCUCCACCAAUACUCAAUAAUUGUGAGACUAACUGUGCGUAUGAAUACAAGGAUAAGAUCAUCCUUAGUCCAGGACGAAGGAUUAAACUUCGAGGCAGGAUUAAAGGCUACGUUGGUGGAAGAAUACAUUUUAAUUGUUCUAUCCCGCAAAACGGACUUGCAUGCAAUUCGUUAAAGGUCGUCUACUUGAAAUUCAACAAUAAAGAUGUUAAAGCGGUCAACAUCACACAAUCAAAGAAUGAAUUUGCUUGUGCUAUCGACAGUAGAUAUUGUAAAGUCUGUCAGGAGCACAUGAAUUUAUCGUACGUCAACGGCAGCAGCGUCGUCUUCGUUUUGGAAAAGACACCAGCCUCCCUCAACAACACCGAAUUACAUUGUCACGUGAAGUUUAUUGAUUGUGUAGAGAACAAAAACAAUCACGCUCUACUUGAGACGAUUAUAUUUCUCCUAUAUAAAUAAAAGGGCAAGUACACCUUCUUCCCAGUUUUGAAUGUCCCGUUACGUUCUUGUGUGUGUGUGAAACUCUUCUACGUGAAUGAAUGUGACCAUUUUGACAGAAAUUCAAAAGCUAGUGCUCGCGUCACCUUAAGGUUUUUUCGUAAGUUCAUUCAAUAUUGUUCCCAGAGCCUGUGCAGGCUCGUGGGCGGAUAUGACUGGUGUAUGUCCCGUGUAAUACAUUCAAGACGUGCCCUAACAAUAUUAAUAUUAUAGUGACGUUUGCGCUAAACAUUAUUGUCGUUUACUGAGGCAUGCAGCAACAAAACAAGAUCUACUUUGAAUAAAUUACUUCACCUUUAUUUGAUCAAAAAAGUUCACUGAGUGUAGUUUUUUUGUCAUUGAAACUUAAUAUCAGUAACGUUUUUAGUAUAUGAUGCGAACACUUGAUGUUAGGUAUGAUUACUUACAGAUUCAUUCCGCAGUGACAGCAGCAAUACCAUCGGUUGUCGGUAUUGUUGUAGUCAUUGUUUGUUUAUGUUGUUAUUUUAUUUAGUUUUGGUCUAAUUUCAGCUGAAAGGGUAACUGUGAUAAGAAGUUCCUGUGUGGGAUAGAAAAAAUGUAUUUGAGUGCCAAAACCCAAUGUGCAGAUGUAACCCAUGACUGCAGUGACGGCACCGAUUUUGUAGUGUUGCAGAACAUCAAUUAAAUAAAUGGAAGUCAGUCUGCUAUGGGACUACCCAUAGGAAACUGACUUUGAUUUGUUUUUUUACCAUAUAACAAAGUCGAAAAAAUUGAACGCUGCGUACGUGGUUCCACUUGAGUUUGGAUCAUUUUUGACGUCAUUUCCUGCUCGAUUACGGUACAGAGCCAUAGAAAACUGACUUCGAUUUGUUAAAUCGACACUGGUUCUAAGCCAAUAGCGCGCGAGAAAUUUCCAAGUUAUGGUAAAAGUUGUUGUUGCUGUUGUAGUUGUUAUUGUUUUUCUUGUUCUUGUUGUUUGUGUUGUUGUUG